UAAAUUCAAAAUCAUUAAAUUUUCAUUCAAGAACAUUGUUCAGAAAGCAUUUCUAGAUUGGACCAGCAGAAAAAAAUGAGGCACCUCUUGACUUUGGAGCUCAUCAGCGCACAGAUAUCAUUUGGAGAGCUAUGAACUAAAUCCCAGAAAGCCAAUCAAUUGACAUAUGGCUGCUAGUGCAUGAGCAUCUAUCAACCAUGCUGACAGAAUUUUGAAGGCAUAUAGAAAGGGAUGGAAUGUAAAAAUGAUUUACUAUGUAAGUCAAAAAACUACAUAAAUGUUGGAUUAAUUAACAGUAAAUUAUAAAGAUGUAUCUUUGUUGUGUUCAAUUCCCCCUCCUUAGUAGAAUAGCUGUAUGUCAAAUAUAAAUUUAAUAAGAAAUGGUAAUGAACACGAUUCUUGACUUACAGUAUGUCUUGGGUGAUGAACACCUCGCUAGUGGUUUUCAAGUGAUUUUGGAAGUAUUUUCGUGCUAUUCACACCCCAUGAUCGCCCAAUUUGGAGCUACCCUAGAAAGCCGAGCUCUUUUAUGUUUACUAUGUGUUUUUGGAGAUGUUUUUUAAUCUGCUUUCAUUUAAAUUUGGUGAGUUUAAAAGUCCAACUAGUGUCCAGAACUGGGGCAUAUCAGAAAGCAAAGGUUGGAAACCCUAGAUUCCCACCUUCAGCCAUGAGGAUUUGCUUUCCAAAUGCCUUCCUGAAGUAUUAUCUUUUGAUGCCCUCAUCUUAAUUUCACAACUCGAAUCCAUACCCUUGCCCUGAAAUUUGAGGUGUGUGAAUUUUGGGUUGUUUGGAUCAUUAGAUCUCCACUUAUGCUUUAAGAUGGAGGUGUUUUAGAGGUUAUUGAUACUGGGCAUGGGGUUAAAUACCAAAUUUCCAGAUGAAGAACCAACUCAGUUUUUUCUCCAUUUUGGAGGCCUCUUGUCCUUUGUCACUUCUAGGGUUUAAAUUUUCUCAUUCUCCUUCAUGGAUUAACCCAGAUAAAUUUAUGGUUUAGCUCUAGUUUGGAUUAUUCUUGCUUUGUGCAUCAUCCAUCUAACUAUGGGACUCCAUUUAUGUAGUAUUACUCCACAUUUUCAUAUGUAUUUUGGUAGUUUGGUUUCAAUAAUGGAGAUAUUUAUGCUUUCUUUAUUUAACUAGCUUCCUUGUGCUAGGGUGAUGGCCACAUAAGGCGUGAACUCCAAUGGUUGCAUGUUUUGUAUCAAACAUUAUGAGUUUAAGGUUGAAAUCUACAUUUUGUUUUUGUAUUUAUGCUUUAUCCCUUGUUUUCAACCCUUGUUUUAGAUUAUGAAGUGCUUAAGAAAUACUUUAGGUGUUUGAGUUUUGAGUUAUUCUUCUUCCUUGAAGCCUUACUUUAAAUUAUGGAAUACUUGUGGACACUUUGGGUGCUUAAUUGUGUUGUUAAUCACUUGGUUUUGUCAUGACUUCUUUUCAUAAUUUUAGAUCUUGAGUUGGUGAUUUUGAAGUUUGUGUGUUUAUUAUCAGAGGCAAAACAUCUUGUAGAGAACAUGUUUCUGAAAAUGAAAAAGUGAUUUUAAAGUUAUAUCUUAAAAUUUUAGUCAGUCGCUUCCCUUAUUAUAUUUGGUGUUUGGUGCAUAAGAACUUGGGAGGGAACUCUAAAAGGAUGUUCAUUCCCUAGUGUGUUUUAUAUUUUUUUUUAAUUACUUCAAUAUGCUUCAAUUUCUCCUAUCUUUUGAAAAACGUCAACACCAACCAUUCUACUAAUUUCUAUCCAUUUCACUUUCAUUUAUCUCUAACAUCCUCUCGAUACUCUCUCUUCUUCUUUUUCCCCGUGGAUCGACACUUGGCUCAUUGUUUUUUUUUUUUUCCUUUUGCAACCAAAUCCUUGCACUUAAGGUAGAAGUGAUCACCAUUUGUAUAUAAGAUUAUUAGAACUAAAUUCAUAAUAAUCAUAUUUUUUAAAGUUUUGCUUCUCCUUUCUACUACACCAUUGUGUGGUGGUGUAUAAGGUGCUAUCGUUUGUUGGAUGAUACCAUUUUGUUCACGAAAAUUAGUUAAACUUGUUAUUAAUUUAUCGAAGGUUUCAAUAUAAUUGGUUUUUUACUUCAUUUUUUUAAGAUUUAAAUUUAUCAAAAGUUUCAUCCAUAGAAGCAAGAAGAUAAAUCAUGCAAUAUCUUGUAUAAUCAUUAACUAAAGUAACAAAAUAUUUUUUACCUCCUCUAAUUGGAAUAUAUUUAAGUUCACACACAUUUGGUAUAUAUUUCAAUAUUUUUAAAAGGUUAUUAACGAAUUUAUUUCAAUGCAAGUUUCACACUUACAUAAUCCAUCAAUUUUAGACUUAGGAAUUAAAUUUAAAUUCAUUAAUUUAGUCUCGUGCCAUAAAGAGUAGCAUUAAAAAAAUAUAAGCAAAAAAAACAUUAUUUAUUAAUAUAUAUAUAUAUAUAUAUAUAUAUAUCAUGUUUAAAUAACAAAACACAUUCCUACAAAGGCCCCAUUUUUGGUGAUGACACAUUUACCUGAUUCAAUCCCUGUCUUAAUGCCCAUCCCAAGACCAUAUUUUAGUGCUUUAAAUUAGGUUAGUAUUUUUGUUUCAUUCAUGUACUAGUUCCACUCAACUCACUGUCUUCAAUCUAUAUUGUUGUAAUCAACUUCAAGAUGCUUAAAAGGCUAUGUUGGUUAUGGUAACUAGGUGUUUGGAGUACUAUAACAAUGCAAUGGUUAUUUACAACUAAAUAAAAUGAAAAUUUAUGGCAAAAUGUACUUGCAAACAACAAAAAGAAAAAAAAUGUGGGCGGAAGGGAUGUUCAAAUGCCUCUUAGGAAACAUACGUUCAAUGUCCCAUAGACAUUUAGACAUUCUAUAUGGGGAUGUUCAAAUAUUUCAUCACUAUUCAAAUAUCUACAACAAUUUGAACUUUACUUGGCUAGGUGAUUUUUUCCCUAUUUUACAACAAUUAAUAUUUUCAAAUGCACAUUUUGGUAAAUUUACCUUACCUAAAAUGACUCUAAAUAAGACUAAGGUUUUUCCUAAAAAACAUAGGGCCUGUUUGAGAACUGUUUUCAAGAACAAUUUUCUAUUUUUUAGAACAAAAAAAUUGGAAAACACAUUUGGCAACCAAAAAAUAGGAUAUUUUCAGAUAAUAUCUUUUAGUUGUUUUAACUUGUUUCUUAAAAGUUGUUUUAAAAAAUAAUUAUACAAACAUAUAUAAUGAUUAAAAAUAAAGUUGUGGACAUAAAAACUAUUUUUAAAACUUAUUUAAAAAUAUUAAAAACAUGUAAAAAACAUUUGAAGUUCCUAAACAAACUUUGUUUUACAAAACAUCAAAGAACAAUUUCAAAAACUAUUUUUGAAAUCUAUUUUGAAAAACAGUUACCAAACAAGGUCAUAGUCCUUAGACUUUAUUGGUGUUAAUACAUAUAUUGCAAAUAUAGUCAAUUACUUUGCCCUCAAAUGUGUAACUCUCAAAAGCUUCCAAGAUUGUAACUUGAAAGCCUUUUGGGUAGAAAGCCAAGAUGAUGCAUAAAUCUAUAAGCUACUUGAUACAAGCUUUGAGGUGUUUUGCUAAGGAGCACAAGGUACUAUAUCGUAGAUGUGAUAAAGAGCAUAGGUACUAACUAGUAUAAGACCAUUAUGCUAUUUUUUAUUCCCAAAAAAUACUAAGAAAAAAAAAUUAUAAGAAAAAUGAUUUUCUUAUAUUUGGUUGUCCUAUGAAAAAUAUCAAAGAAAAUCAAAUAUAAUAAAUUUAUACAUCUUCAAAUUAUUUAAUUUUUACUUGGAACCGUUAAAAUAAGUGAAAUGAGUAUGAAGUAGUAUAUAAAAAUAAUUUAUUAAUUUUAAAUCUAUUUUUUAUUUUCCUUCCUUUUUUCUUUCCUUCCACUUUUCCUUUCUAUUUUCUUUUUUCUCACAUUUUCCCUCGAAUUUUCUAGGAAUCAAACAUAGCCAUAAGAAUGGUGCAUCCAAAUAAAAUAAAAUUAUGUCCUUCUGUUUAGAUUUAAUGGAGUUAAUAUUUUGUGAUUGUUUGACCUAGGACUUUUCAAUCUAUAGAGUUUUUGUAUAGGUAGUUCUUUCUUGUAUAUAUAUCUCUUAUCCAUUGCAUAGAUAGAUUAGUCUUAUAUUCCAAUUUGAAUUAAUUUACAUCUAACAAAAUUUGAAUUAAAAAUAUUGGGAUACAUAAAGCUUAGACUAACUAUUGACUCUCCCCUAGGUAGAUCAAUCUGUCAAUUAAGAACAGACUUUCACAUAUUUUUCCUAUCAGCACAAUGCUUGUAUUUCUCUCCCUUAUAUCAGGAACAUGUAGAACAUGACAUAAGGUAAGUGUCCUCCUUGCAGUGAAUCUCAUUCCAACCUUGCUUUGGCUUCACUUUCAACUUUCAAUUAAAGCCAAAAACAAGAAACAAUCCCACACAAGGCUUAUUAAGCUUAAACUACUCAUAUUAAAAGUUAAAUAUUUAAACUAAAUAGUUUAGUGCUUCUCAGGGACUUGAUAAUACUCCAAGAUUAAUCAUUCAUUAUGUAAAGAUGCAUGAUUAUCAGAAUACGGAGUAUUAAGGCUUUCUUACUCAAAUGGAUUAGUCACUUCACACGCACAGCUUCUUACUAUGAACAGUUCAAACACCAUUUGUCGACAUGCUUACAUUGCUGGCAGUUUAUGUGGUCUAUCAACAAGUGGACGUGAAAAAAAAUCAAAAACCACUUUAAUUAUCCAAAGGCAUAUACAAAUUUCCUUGAUGAUUAUUCUUUUUCUCAUAAGAUAGCUACAAAAAUAUCGACACGUAUACCACAAAGUAAAUUCCAACCAUGAACGAUCCUCCUCUUUCAAGCAGACGCAAAUCCAAGAGAUUCUAUUCCCAUAUUCAUAAUCUAGCAUUUCAGCCGAUCAAACACUCUCUCUCCACCAUACAGGGGGUUCAUAUUUCUCAUGUUGAGCAAGAAAUUGGCACAAGUAUAAGAAAAGGCUUAUGGAUAAAAUGAGAAUAUGAAUGAUUCCCUUUAGGUCGCACUAUAGCACUUGCCUUAGCCAGUCAACCAGUAUAGAGAAUAAUUAGGAUGUCGGCACUCCUCUGCCUAUAUAAACGUUAACAAUGUUGCAUUACAAGACAAGGAUUUGAGAAGCUAGGAUACAACAUCAAAUUAGUGCUAGCUAGCUACUCCACAUUUUGCAGGUGUGAAAAUUAAUUUCAAAUAGUUGUCUGGUUCUUGAUGCUUUGUUUUGUGUCCUAAGAGUUUUGCAUGAAGAGGUAGAGAGGGUGGAAUUGAGUCAAGGAUGACUUGCCGAUAUAUAUUUGCAGAAGGCAUGCAGGGGCUUUUAGCUAUGUGUAACCGGCAAGUUGACUUGACUCAGUUUGGCCCUCUUCUUCUCAUGUGAAGCUCUGUGGACUAUCAGUGCUGCCAGAAAGCUACAGCCAAGAAAGUUUAACACUAGUAGGAUGCAAACCAUCCCUAAAAAAGAGCUAAACCAAAUCUUUUUUCAUUUCUUCUUUUCUCCUUUUCGUUUGUUUAUUUACAUUAUUAUUGCUAAUAAUGUUAGGAGAAUAGUGAUUAAACUCUUCAUCACGCAAAGGCGAGCAGGAAAUUAUUUCCUUCUCUUUCAGACACCUUUUUCUCAACCAUGUAUGUUUUACAGAAACCAAAAUAAGAUGUCAUGCAUGCACAUGCAGGUUCUUUAUUAACCAGGAGAUUGGAUCCUGAUUCUUCAGUCAUGAACCAAGUGCCACCAAAAAGAGUUGUUUUCUAUAAAUUCAAAAUCAUUAAAUUUUCCUUCAAGAACAUUAUUCAGAAAGCAUUUCUAGAUUGGACCAGCAGAAAAAAAAAUGAGGCACCUCUUGACUUUGGAGCUUAUCAGCGCACGGAUAUCAUUUGCAGAGCUCUGUUCUAAAUCCCAGAAUGUCAAUCAAUUGAUGUACGGCUGUUAGUGCAUGAGCAUCUAUCAACAAUGCUGACAGAAUUUUGGAAACAUAAAGAAAGGGAUGAAAUGUUGUAAUGAUUUACUAUGUAAGUCAAAAGGCUACACAUAUGUUGGAUUAAAUAACAGUAAAUUAUAAAAUGAUGUAUCUUUGUUGUGUUCAAUUCCCCUCCUUAGUAGAAUGGUUGUAUGUCCAAUGUAAAUUUAAUGAGAAAUGGUA
rnacentral:lncRNA from 1 species